rnacentral:rRNA from 1 species
AUUGAACGCUGGCGGCAUGCCUUACACAUGCAAGUCGAACGGUAACGGGCCUUCGGGUGCCGACGAGUGGCGAACGGGUGAGUAAUGCAUCGGAACGUACCUUUCAGUGGGGGAUAACGUAGCGAAAGUUACGCUAAUACCGCAUAUUCUGUGAGCAGGAAAGCAGGGGAUCGCAAGACCUUGCGCUGAUUGAGCGGCCGAUGUCAGAUUAGCUAGUUGGUGAGGUAAAGGCUCACCAAGGCGACGAUCUGUAGCGGGUCUGAGAGGAUGAUCCGGCACACUGGAACUGAGACACGGUCCAGACUCCUACGGGAGGCAGCAGUGGGGAAUUUUGGACGAGGGGGGCGACCCUGAUCCAGCCAUGCCGCGUGAGUGAAGAAGGCCUUCGGGUUGUAAAGCUCUUUCGGUCGGGAAGAAAUCGCAUGGGUUAAUACCCUGUGCGGAUGACGGUACCGGCAUAAGAAGCACCGGCUAACUACGUGCCAGCCGCCGCCGUAAGAC